GAUGAACGCUGGCUACAGGCUUAACACAUGCAAGUCGAGGGGAAACGACGGGGAAGCUUGCUUCCCCGGGCGUCGACCGGCGCACGGGUGAGUAACGCGUAUCCAACCUGCCUCUGACUGAGGGAUAACCCGUCGAAAGUCGGCCUAAUACCUCAUGGCAUCGUCUGCGGGCAUCCAACGACGAUUAAAGAUUUCAUCGGUCAGGGAUGGGGAUGCGUCUGAUUAGCUUGUUGGCGGGGUAACGGCCCACCAAGGCUACGAUCAGUAGGGGUUCUGAGGGGAAGGUCCCCCACAUUGGAACUGAGACACGGUCCAAACUCCUACGGGAGGCUGCAGUGAGGAAUAUUGGUCAAUGGGCGGGAGCCUGAACCAGCCAAGUAGCGUGCAGGAUGACGGCCCUAUGGGUUGUAAACUGCUUUUAUGCGGGGAUAAAGUGAGGGACGUGUCCUUCAUUGCAGGUACCGCAUGAAUAAGGACCGGCUAAUUCCGUG
rnacentral:rRNA from 1 species